rnacentral:rRNA from 1 species
UACGAAGGGGGCUAGCGUUGUUCGGAAUUACUGGGCGUAAAGCGCACGUAGGCGGAUAUUUAAGUCAGGGGUGAAAUCCCGGGGCUCAACCCCGGAACUGCCUUUGAUACUGGGUAUCUCGAGUCCGAGAGAGGUGAGUGGAAUUCCGAGUGUAGAGGUGAAAUUCGUAGAUAUUGGGAGGAACACCAGUGGCGAAGGCGGCUCACUGGACUGGUACUGACGCUGAUGCGCGAAAGCGUGGGGAGCAAACAGG